UACGAAGGGUGCAAGCGUUACUCGGAAUUACUGGGCGUAAAGCGUGCGUAGGUGGUUCGUUAAGUCUGAUGUGAAAGCCCUGUGCUCAACCUGGGAAUGGCAUUGGAUACUGGCGACCUAGAGUGCGGUAGAGGGGUGUGGAAUUCCCGGUGUAGCAGUGAAAUGCGUAGAUAUCGGGAGGAACAUCUGUGGCGAAGGCGACACCCUGGACCAGCACUGACACUGAGGCACGAAAGCGUGGGGAGCAAACAGG
rnacentral:rRNA from 1 species